AUUGAACGCUGGCGGCAUGCCUUACACAUGCAAGUCGAACGGUAACAGGUCUUCGGAUGCUGACGAGUGGCGAACGGGUGAGUAAUACAUCGGAACGUGCCCGAGAGUGGGGGAUAACGAGGCGAAAGCUUUGCUAAUACCGCAUACGAUCUCAGGAUGAAAGCAGGGGACCGCAAGGCCUUGUGCUCACGGAGCGGCCGAUGGCAGAUUAGGUAGGUGGUGGGAUAAAAGCUUACCAAGCCGACGAUCUGUAGCUGGUCAGAGAGGACGACCAGCCACACUGGGACUGAGACACGGCCCAGACUCCUACGGGAGGCAGCAGUGGGGAAUUUUGGACAAUGGGCGCAAGCCUGAUCCAGCCAUGCCGCGUGCAGGAUGAAGGCCUUCGGGUUGUAAACAGCUUUUGUACGGAACGAAAAGACUCUGGUUAAUACCUGGGGUCCAUGACGGUACCGUAAGAAUAAGCACCGGCUAACUACGUGCCAGCCGCCGCGGUAACAC
rnacentral:rRNA from 1 species